ACCCGCUGAACUUAAGCAUAUCAAUAAGCGGAGGAAAAGAAACCAACAGGGAUUGCCCUAGUAACGGCGAGUGAAGCGGCAACAGCUCAAAUUUGAAAUCUGGCUUUUUUAGAGUCCGAGUUGUAAUUUGCAGAGGGCGCUUUGGCUUUGGCAGCGGUCCAAGUUCCUUGGAACAGGACGUCACAGAGGGUGAGAAUCCCGUACGUGGUCGCUGGCUAUUGCCGUGUAAAGCCCCUUCGACGAGUCGAGUUGUUUGGGAAUGCAGCUCUAAAUGGGAGGUACAUUUCUUCUAAAGCUAAAUAUUGGCCAGAGACCGAUAGCGCACAAGUAGAGUGAUCGAAAGAUGAAAAGCACUUUGGAAAGAGAGUCAAACAGCACGUGAAAUUGUUGAAAGGGAAGCGCUUGCAGCCAGACUUGCUUACAGUUGCUCAUCCGGGCUUUUGCCCGGUGCACUCUUCUGUAGGCAGGCCAGCAUCAGUUUGGGCGGUAGGAUAAAGGUCUCUGUCACGUACCUCUCUUCGGGGAGGCCUUAUAGGGGAGACGACAUACUACCAGCCUGGACUGAGGUCCGCGCAUCUGCUAGGAUGCUGGCGUAAUGGCUGU
rnacentral:rRNA from 1 species